GCCCGUUGCGGCCCUCCGGUUGGGUCGUGACACUCUUAAAAAGUAAUUCACUCAAUCAAUUAACUCUAUAUGUUUUCCUAUCUUCAUAAGGGUUUUUUUUCCUCUGUUAAGCUUUGUUGUUCAUUGUUCUUAUCGCCCUGUUUCUGUACUACUAUGGCCACAAGCUAUAAUGGCAGUCAACCUUGGCCUCAAGAUUUAGUAACAGAGAUUCUACUGAGGUUGCCUUUGAAGUCCAUGUUGCGAUUCAAAUGCGUAAGCAAGAAAUGGUACAAAACUAUCAAGAUCCCUAGCUUCGUCAGCGAGCGGUACAAUUGGAGAAGUAAGAACAAGAUCCUCGAAUACCUGGUUUGUGAAGAUGCUGGAUGCCCCGCAGGAUGCAAGAGACGACGUAUCUUGAAUUUCGUUAUUCGAGAGUGAGGAGAAAUGAUGUCAAAGAUGGUUGUUCAAUUCAUUGUUACAAGUAAAGCUUAGUAACAGUUAAAAGAAGUGAUGGAGAGCUGGACCAUUAUAGUUUACCUGCCAUGUUUGAUUCCUCUUUUAUGCUUUACAGAAGAGUAGAUAUAUAAUAUGUUGCACACUCAGCAUGCGUAUGUAACAGUUGGUUUAACUAGUAAUUCUACCUUCUGGUUUGGAAAUGGACUUCACUUCUUUGAAUAUUUAAUUAUCUUUUUCUUGUAGCAUUUUUAAUUCGGACCUUUAAAAUUUGAAUUUAUUUUAUCUAUUUUUGGUACAA